UCUCUCCAAGGAUCGCUGUGGCCUCUGUAAGCUCCCCUCAUAACUGCUCUGAACUGAGCACCCUGCUGAUGAGGGCUUCUUUCUUUGGAAUCCCAAUCGACCCCAUCCUGGAACAGUUCAGAGUACUCCCUUGUGGGAAUUCCCCCGCCGCUGCUUUUGGGGUGAUUCCAGCGUUGGGUUGGCUGGACAAAACAGCCUCGAAGCAUACUGCCCCAAAUCUGGUCCUUCUGAGUUUCUGAUUCCCUCACUCUUCAUCUCUUAUGACGCCUUCCUAAACAUUCCUGAGAGUUUCAAACAUUGUCUUUCAUUUGACUCAGGGAUUCAUCAUCCGCUUCCUGUUGAAAUAGUAAACGCCUCCACAUGGACUCACGGGUUCACCUCCUUCCGGUCUGAACAGUGAACUCCUCCGCAUCAACUCACCCAUUCACCCCUUCCGGUCUAAACAGUGAACGCCUCCGCAUGGACUCACGAGUUCACCUCCUUCCGGUCUAAACAGUGAACGCCUCCGCAUCGACUCACGGGUUCACCUCCUUCCGGUCUGAACAGUGAACUCCUCCGCAUGGACUCACGGGUUCACCUCCUUCCGGUCUGAACAGUGAACGCCUCCGCAUCGACUCACGGGUUCACCUCCUUCCGGUCUGAACAGUGAACUCCUCCGCAUGGACUCACGGGUUCACCUCCUUCCGGUCUGAACAGUGAACUCCUCCGCAUCGACUCACGGGUUCACCUCCUUCCGGUCUGAACAGUGAACUCCUCCGCAUGGACUCACGGGUUCACCUCCUUCCGGUCUGAACAGUGAACUCCGCAUCGACUCACGCGUUCACCUCCUUCCGGUCUAAAUGGUAAACUCCUCUGCAUUUUCUGUUCGGUUCUAUUUUGGUGGGGCCCACGCGUCAUCACAGAGUAUCUGGGAGCCCUGCCCUCUUGCAGAUGGGAAUGAAGGCCCAGGUGCUCUGGAGAGGUGACUCUCCUCUAGAAAGGAAACACUGGUUCUGUAAACCUGUUUGAGAAGAAAAGCUCGAGGUUUCUUGGCCUCUCUGCUUCUGGAGCCAGGGGAAAAAAUAGCCCCAGGCUGAAGACAGGAGGGACCAGAUUGCUGCUUGGUGAUGCGAUCUCACUGCAGAGGCAGCCAGGAGACCCUCCUGAGACGAAUCGGAGAGUCCAUGCUGCUUUUACACACAUCCUAGUUCUUUUAUAACUAGCCUUUUCCUAUUAACGGACAUCAUUCAAAAGCCAGUUUUAAGCAACAUAAAUAUUGAAAACAAUACUAUACUAUUUAGAAUUAAUUAUAAGUUUUGUUUUUAAAGCCUAAAUCUUUUAUUGUUGUUUGAACCCUGGGCACUGAAGCUAAUAAUGUAACUUUUCUCCCUUCUUUCUUCUUUGGCAUAGAUUUAAAGAACUGUUAGACUCAUUUAAAAUGCUAUUAGGCAUUUUAAAGAGUAAUUGUUAAAUGUGUUGUCUCUUGUGGGACUGGAAAUGUUCUGUUCUUAUCUGGCGCUGGUUACAUCCUGUUUUUCAUUUGGGAAAGUGCAUUGAGCUGGAAAUUUAUAUGUUCAAUUUCUGUAUGUAAAUUGUACUUCAGUAAAAAUUUUCAAAAAAGUG
rnacentral:lncRNA from 1 species